rnacentral:lncRNA from 1 species
UACUCUGAUUAUAUGUUAAGUAAUUUGGGAUAGAAAAAGAGGUGUUACACGAAACAUCUAAGGAGGAUCUAAAAGGCACAUCUCAACUCAGGAAAAUCUGACUCCACAGGAGACAAAAAGUCAUAAUAGGGAGCAGAAGGAAGGAACACCAGGGAUACCGGUUACUGGGUAUAUAAUAGGUGACCAACCAGGCGUGAAUU